UGCCAGCCGCCGCGGUAAUACGAAGGGGGCUAGCGUUGCUCGGAAUUACUGGGCGUAAAGCGCGCGCAGGUGGCCUGUUAAGUUGGGGGUGAAAGCCCGGAGCUCAACUCCGGAACGGCCUUCAAAACUGGCAAGCUAGAGUCCGGAAGAGGAGAGUGGAAUUCCCAGUGUAGAGGUGAAAUUCGUAGAUAUUGGGAAGAACACCAGUGGCGAAGGCGGCUCUCUGGUCCGGUACUGGCGCUGAGACGCGAAAGCGUGGGGAGCAAACAGGAUUAGAUA
rnacentral:rRNA from 1 species